AUUAUAAACAGUAUACAUUUGGAAUAAAAUUGUGUUCAGUACUUCACAGACGGUCAAAUGGACGUUUUCAAAAUUUUUUGCAAGCCGGCGAGACUUAAUACCAACAUAUAAAAUCAUAGAGAUGAUCCGGGAUCGAAGUUUGCCGGGACUCCCUCUAUUUCGCAUAAUUAUAUAUGUACAGAACACCCAAUAAAGAGAUGAUCAAACUUCAAACAAAUAUAUAUAACUAUCGUUUAAUGACAAGUUUUCAAUUUCAAAUAUUUGGUUAAUGUUUGCUCUCUUUACUGGAUGCCCUGUACAUAUCUUCUGUAUGUUAGACAUUCAACUAUCCAUGUAGGUACACAGUUCUUCAAGUCAAUAACGCACUAUGCACUAUAGUUGGUCAGGUCGUAUGGUUUAUUCAGUACCUUAUUCUAAGCUCAGUUUUACUAGGAGUUUAUGAUUCUCUUUUUUAUGUAAAUAUAUAUAUGUACAGGACGCCCAAUAAAAAAUUAUCAAACGCUAAACAAAUAUACAGAUAAACUUAUAAUUUAAAAAUAACUAGGUUAAAGUGUGUACGUGGUUCUUCAAGUCAAUGCACCACUAUUUGUCAGGUCGUAUUGUUUAUUCUGUAUCCUGCUCUUGGUACCUAUAUGGUCUUGAGCACAAUUUAGUUAAGACUUACAUUUUUAAGUGUAUAUUUUAAUAUAUAUUUGUACAGGACGCUCAAUAAAGAGAUGACCGAACUUUAAACAAAUAUAUAACUUACAUCUCAAUUAUUUUUUCAAAUUGUAAAUUUUCAAAUAUUUGGUUAGUGUUUGCUCUUUACUGGACGCCCCGUACAUAUGUUUAGUAGGUCUCACGUACCUACACGUGGUUCUACAUAUAACCACAUUACCACAAUAUAUAUUAUGCACUUGGUAAAGUCAUAAGCGGAACCAAUAUAUACCAAUAUAUACGAUAUACCUACAUUAUUGAUGCGUGGAAAAUGGAAGCCCGAGUUACUUCCGUGAAACGUCAGUCCGUCUAGCAGAUCCAGUUUCCAAACGCGCAGAGUGAUUGGAAGCCCUCGGGCUUCCGGUAAAUGAUUUAAUCACACCGAUGUUUCAAUUUACAUACGAGUAAAUCUUUGUUUUGUUUUUUUUUUUUUUUUGGUACUACGUAUACGACUGUUGUCAAUUAUUGUCAUUAUCGGACUUUUGUGAAAAUGAGCCUACGGAUUGGACGGACGUCUUAAGCAAGGCAAAUUGUAUAAAUUAAUCAUCAUAGCUUCGAGUAGUUACUUACUAAAUUUCAACAGUGUGCACACUUUUUGAUAAUUUGAACAUGUUCAAAUUAUCAAAAACUUACAUAACAAUUAAGUUGAUGGAAAUAAACAAAAUAUUAUUACUAAAUAAAUGCCUGUU